GCGCCCGUAGCUCAGUUGGAUAGAGCAACGGUCUUCUAAACCGUUGGUCGCAGGUUCGAAUCCUGCCGGGCGUA
rnacentral:tRNA from 1 species